rnacentral:rRNA from 1 species
CCCUUAGAUGUUCUGGGCUGCACGCGCGCUACACUGAUGCAUCCAACAAGUUUUUUCCUUGUUCGAGAGGACUAGGUAAUCUUAUGAGAAUGCAUCGUGAUGGGGAUAGAUUAUUGCAAUUAUUAAUCUUCAACGAGGAAUUCCUAGUAAGCGCGAGUCAUCAGCUCGUGCUGAUUACGUCCCUGCCCUUUGUACACACCGCCCGUCGCACCUACCGAUUGAAUGUUUCGGUGAAGAUUCCGGAUAGGACUGAUUUGAUUUAUUUCAUUUCUGACCUAAAAGCUAUCUAAACCUCAACAUUUAGAGGAAGGUGAAGUCGUAACA